UACGAAGGGGGCUAGCGUUGUUCGGAUUUACUGGGCGUAAAGCGCACGUAGGCGGAUAUUUAAGUCAGGGGUGAAAUCCCGGGGCUCAACCCCGGAACUGCCUUUGAUACUGGGUAUCUUUGAGUCCGGAAGAGGUGAGUGGAAUUCCGAGUGUAGAGGUGAAAUUCGUAGAUAUUCGGAGGAACACCAGUGGCGAAGGCGGCUCACUGGUCCGGUACUGACGCUGGGGUGCGAAAGCGUGGGGAGCAAACAGG
rnacentral:rRNA from 1 species